UAAACCGAAACGAUAAUUCAUUCGAAAUACUGCCAAUUUCGGUCCCUAGACGCAAGCUUUCCCGUUUGAAAAGUAGCUUCAAAGAUGUUUAUAUACCCGAAUCCUUCGCAUUGCGAAAAUCUAGAUUCAUACGAAUCUGCCAACUAAGUAUAUAUAAUGCGAUAUGCUGGGUUGUGGUUUUGAAACCAAAAUGUUUUCCAAAAACUAUUCCGGAGUGACGCUACUAUACGUUACAUCUAUAUAUUACAUUUAUAUAUCCUAGAACAGUUCGAGACGCGUUCGCAGAACUGGGAUAAUAGACAAAUAUUAAAGGAGUCAUUGAAUUAUUUAAAUACAUUUUUAAUUCACAUACGGGGUUAGUCGAAGAUUUCAAUUUUUUCUGUACAAUUGCCAUAUCUUCUUUGAUCCAAAGAGAAUAUCCUAUGUUUGAAACCGAAUAUUCGAGUCAAGGGGUAAUUUGUUUUACAUGAAAAGUGCAGCGCUUGGAUAAGAAUAUCAAACCAGAAAAGCAACUCACAAUCAGUGAUUUAUGUAGUUCAAUCUCUAUUUAAUUUAUUUAAAAUAUUUUUUAUUGGACCUAAAUACGUAUUUCUUAAAUUAAAAACUAGAUAAAUUGUCGCAUUAAAUAAAUGUGCUCUCAGUGCACUGAUUUUUUGGAUCAAUUAAUACUUAUUGAAUCGAAUAACUUUUUUUUCUCAGUGUAGCUAAACCACUCGAGUCUGCUGCGAAAGUGAGCUUGUUAAUCAGGAUACGUACAGUUUGUCUCCAAGUAAACUUACUGUAUGCUUUUUACUUUUGUGUGCACACGUUAGGACUUCAGACUCGACGCACCUCGGUACUUUUUUGAUUUUCGGUAGUUACAUAUUCAUGGCGUAUAAAACCUAAUUAAACGCCCCUUGAAACAUCAGUGCAAAGUAAUCAAGAACUCGCGAACUAAUUAGCAAGUCCCAUCUAAUCACCCGAGUGUAGCAUACUCAUGUCCUCUGCGUAUAUAUUAUAUGUAUAGGUAUGACUUUUACUUUCAGCAUUCAUCGUACCAUGGUGUACUUCAUUAUUUACGCAUAAAAAUUACCGAACGAACGAAAAUUGCUCGAAUGGGUUCCUCAAACAUUCUAGUACUUUAAAGCUUCUAUAAUUGAUAUUUCCAGGCAAAAUUUCUACACGCUCAAUUUAAACGGUUCGAUGUCUAGAUCUGCCCACGCUUGAUAGCGUAAUUUAAUGAUUUUUUUAAACUCUCCUCUACGAAGAGCUGAAGUGAAAUAGCGCUGCACUCGAAAGUGUGUCCUCUAUAAUUCUCAUAGCUCGUAGCUCCGUAGAUCUGAAUUAUCAUGAUGUAAUACUUCGUACUAAUAAUGUUGAAAAAAAUUUGACCUAGGCUAAAUAGAAAUUGACACGAAAUUUAGUCUAAUUUCAAAUUACCGUUCUUUCCUAACAUAUAUUUUUACGACUAGCAGGACUGAUUGCUCAGCUGCACCUACGGUUCCGUUGCAGUGUUUCUCUAGUCUACUGUCUCUAGGACGUUCUGCCAACGGCAAAUGGCCAGGGGAUAGCUCCUGCGCCUAGACAAGAAUACCAGGGGAGCAUAGCGGCACUUUAGUGAUUUCAGGUUGGAUAAUCGUUUCUAGAGACACGGAGAGCUGGCUGAUCUCGGCUCCAGUCACCGACCUAGGAAAACCGGUUUAGCCGCGAUGCUGCCGAGGCGGCAAGUUCACUAUUAGGGAACUAGGAAACCCAGUCGCUGUUUCGCUCCGAUGCUCGAUGGUCGGGUGAAAGGUAGUUCCACAGUUUGUAUAUUGCGAAUGAUUAACACUUGCGCAAUGGGGCCGCGUUCUUUCCAUAUCUUCGUCUAGAAAUCUUUGACUUAUAAAUUCUAUCUGUACAUUACAUGCUCAAAUCGGACUGGAUCAAGACAUCCGAUAGAACAUUUAUCUAUACCUAUUUUUUCAAUUAAAUUUAUGCAUAUAUUUCACAAAAUCAUACAAAAUACUGAACGGAUUUGGCACCUCUGACCUUACGUUAAUUGUAAGAAGUUGCAGAUUUGGAUUGCUAUUAGCUUAUAAAAUCCAAUGUGUACAUGAGACGGAAUUGUAAAGUCAUUAGUAAUGUUAUUGCAACGAUGAACUUUUGGGAAAAUCGUUAUUUCACAACUUUAACAUUGUAUGAAAUUCAAGAAAUCGUAAUAAAGCAAACCAUACCUAUAUUUCGAAAACUUGAAUCAUUUGAAGUCAUUCUAAAAUUGCAAAGCUGCCAUUUUUUCUCCAACCGUUUGUUACGUUAACGCUGCCACAACUUCAUUCUCGUAUGACUAGAAUGAUCGUAACAGCUGGGACGUGAACUGUUGUAUGAAUAUUCAGUAUUUAACAUUUGGGUACCGGCAUAAAAGGUGUGUUGACCUGAUCUGAUAGCGAUCAGAAAUUUCUAUUGUUUGCCAUGUCUUAGUGUGGCAAUGUAGGAGAGGUGAUGAAACCUCGGACUCCCAGUCGCAACUAGGGCAUUGUCAAUGGUAUGACAUAACGCGGUUAUUGUAUCGUAAUUUCGUAAUCGUUAGCGGCUAGUGAAAAUCGCUAAAAAAUAGGAAUGUGAAACUCGAAAAAAAAGAAAUUGCGCAUUGAUUGUCGCUGUAAAAAUUUGUAUCAGCUCGAUCGAUGAAUAACAAUAAGAUGAUUCGCGUGCACGAACGGUGAUAACAAACCGAACGAAACCUAUCAGCAUCAGAGAGUUUUAUACUUCAGUGAAAACACUCAAGUUCAAUUUAAAUGGUGUGACGCGACGCAUUAAUCAUACGAGUGGCACGGAGCACCGACUGGAACCUCCCAACAAACGAUGACUGAUAUUUUUUCACUACCUUCGCUAACGGUAAAUAUGACGUGCUUACGGGGGAAGUUCAUUCGAUUAUUCGUUUAGUUGGAGGUAACACAUUGAAAUAGAAUAUCAAACGAUUGAUUUGUAUUAUACGAGACGAAUGUCGUUGGGUUGUUUGUAACUAGGCGCCCAAUCUGUUUGACUAAUUACUUGUCAGGACCGUUACCUGAAGAAGAUAGAGAGUUGCCCCACUGGACUUUGGUGUGACAACCAAAAAUGGUCGUGCGCUUGCGCCCCCUGAGAUGUUCCAAUGGUAGAGUUGAAAACUUAUUGCAGAACAUCAGAGAGUUGCCGAUUUCGACAUGAUGCUGGCUACAUUCACCUUCCGAGUAACGCAGUCUUCGCAAUGCGGAGAGAUAGAACGAAGCUUCUUGAAACUUGAAGUGUAUUUUAACACACAUAUGAGAGGUACCAGCUAAAAUUGUUUGCAUCCAACUGUUACAGAACGGCAGCAUUAUUAGCUGACCCGUUAACUGGAGAAUAUAUCUUUAGUAGACGCUGACCAUCGAAGGGCGUAGCCGCUUGAGUCUGGAAUCGGCAAGAGAGAUAAGACGAAAAUCAACUAGCCGAUUUCCUCAGUCCGGAAACAACCGCGCAGUAGAAUGGACGUAUGAGAACCGCGCUCCGCAGAUUUUGAGUACCGGGGUCUCUACCUCCUGGACCCUGCGCUUCGGGGCCACUUUCUGGUGAAACUUUAGUUCCAGGACAAGCGCUCCGUAGUUUCUACGCUCCAGGUACGCUACCGGGUGGAACUAGACGUUCAUUCAACUCGAAUCUGAGACCAAAAACGUUUGACUCCAAGAUCUAAGAAAAAGUACAACCCGAGGUGGUUAUCGGUGGUUGUUCGAGGUGGUUGGCGAUUGUUG
rnacentral:lncRNA from 1 species